rnacentral:lncRNA from 1 species
CUCCUUUCAUUUUGCCUCUUGGAUUGUCAUGAACUUCCUGAGCAAGAAGGCCAUCCACCAUGCAGUGUAAUGUCUUGCUAAGAGAAAUUAGUAUUCAGUCUGCUCAGGUUCCAGCAAGGACUUUCUUCAUGAAGAUCUUCAAGUGGAAUCAAGCAGCCUUGCCCAUGAAGUCAUGCCUGUGGCUCCACUGAGAAAUUCGAUUAAGUAUUCCAAUACUGCUGUGAAACGAAGUGAUCUGAUUCCGGUGAGACAAUUUAUCUUGCAAGCAUAGCCCAUCUGGAUUCUUUACACUAAGGCAAGAGGCAAGCAGAAGACAAAGAGAGAAAGCAGAGGACCUCCGGGAAAGGAAGCCCCCUUUUCAGUCGGCCUAGGCAGAAGUAGAUUUACUCUGAGGAUUCACUCCAAGGGUGAAGUUUUAAGGGUGCUUCACUUGCUCUGGUUUCAUAAAUAAAUUUUGAUCUUCUUAAAUACAAAAAAAAAAAAAAA